CAUAAUAGCAAGUUUAUGAAAAUAUGUUUGGUAGUUUUUGAGGUACGUACACCUACCCCGUCAUUGACAUUGGAACUCCCAUAAGAGAUUUUGCUCCGGAUGACUUUUAAACUCUUUGAGUUUUUGUAAAAUUUGAAAAUCAUUGUUUAGUUAUCUUCUAGAAUAUUGUCAAGUUUCAAAUUUCAAAAAACAGCAAAAAACAGUUUUUUUCAAGUUAUUAAACUAUUAAAAAACACACAAACAUGAAGAAAGUAAAAAGAUGUAAGCAAUGAAACCAACUGAACAGAUUCAAAUCCAAAACCCAUUUAUGGUCCUUCGAGCCGGAUUACAUGUGAAAUGUUAGCAUUUUUUAAAACUUUUUUUUGUGAUAAAAUUUUAAGCCUUCUUUUUAAUAUCUGAAUCCUAGUUUAUAAACACUAUUUUAAAACACGUUUUCGAUAGCAACGUGUUUUCACAAUUUUAAAACACGCUUCUCAUAGCAAACUGUUUUAAAUUAUCAUGUUCCAACAAAAAAAAAUUAAUAACAGUUUUGCGAUAACGUUUAAAGUUCUUGGAUGUCUAAGUAUGCAACUCGCAUACGCCCGUUGCAUAAUGACAGCUCUCGAACUUUCAGCUUGUCUUUUUGCACUCGUAUUAUUAAUAACUAUAAUGUAAUGAUCCCUCGUUAUUUAACUGAAUGUAAAUUGAAUAAUAAUGCUUUCAUUAUGUAGAGCUAGUCAAAGAACAUUAUAAUUAUCAUCAAUUCAUCUACUAGAAGUAAUUUAAAAUAUUGUUUGUAUUUAAGGUAUAGUUACGGUUUCUAAAUAAUGUGUGAUUAAUUAAAGUUUGAAAUUAACAAAAAAAUAGAAACUUGUAAGCAAUGAAAACAACUGAACAAAAUCAAGUCCCUAAUCUGGUCCCUCGAGCCGGAUUACCUCGAACACUUGUGCUAGUCAAUAAUUUUAAUUUGUGCAUGAGAUGUUAUAACCGUUCCUAUUUAGGAAUAAUACUAUAAUACGUGUAUAUACACGUUUUGUAGUAUUAUUCCUUAGUUUAAUGUUCCUCAAACUUUUAUUUGAAAUAUUUUUUUAACUCGCUUCGUUCGUUGAAAUUAGUUACAACCUUCAAAUUUUAGAUGAUGUUUUGUGGUUACUUCGAUUUUGGUGUUGUGACAUUUUCCAGUACAAACUAUUGAAGUUUGUAAUAUUUGUAAUGUUGGUGGCCAACACAGUGCUUAUGGUACUUCAAGGAUAUCAUUUUCUUAUCAAUUUCAACAGCCUUUACUUCAUAUCGUAUUCGCCUUACUGGUUUGGAUCCUUUUUUGUAAUAUACAUUCGAAAAACUUGAGUGCAUCAUAAUAUUUUAAAUUACAAUUGAAAAUUUGUAGAUCAUUCUCUCACUUACAACAUGUUUAACUAUAUCUAACAUUGGACCUGAAGGCAUUAAAUCAGCAACGCUGUGGCAAAUAAAAUCCACUGACCCAAAAUUAAUCAAUCGAAUCAAAUUUCAAGUUAAAUUAAUCACAGCUUACAUCAUUGUUAACACAGUUAUUGCACUAAUUGCUGGUCUUGCCCACACUUUUCCAUCAAAAAAUGCAGAAGAGAUAUGUUAUGUGUACAAAAUCAUUGAAAUUUAUGUUCCAAAAUGGAAAACUGAACUUUGUUGGAUGUAUAAAGCGAGCUACAUUGUUAUGGCACUUGCACUACCAGCCACCUGCAACCAAGUGGUGUACGGGGCAACUCACAUACGAUUUCAAUUCUAUUUGGUUUUGGACUGGAUAAGGAACAACAUUAUUGAAUCGGGUUGCGAUGAUUUAAAAUUGCCCAACGACAAGGAUUUUCAGCACAAAAUUACAAAAAACAUUAUUGUUAUUGUAAAACGUUACACAGAAUUUCACAGAACUUUUCAAGCAGUUAACCAGCGAAUAGCAAUUUAUAUAUUGUUGUAUGCUGUUAUUGGAGGGUUGCUUGGCAUAAGUAUCCUUAUGUUCUAUUUUAAGUUUUCAGACACUCUAGUGAUAAGUGACUAUCUUCACGCUGGUACUUUAACAGUAGCAGCAAUUACUACAUUUAUGGCAACAGUAACAUCUGGACAGAAACUAGAGGAUAUUUUUGAAGAACUUCUCUACACAUGGUGCUCGGUUCCUUGGUAUUUGUUCAACAAAUGGAAUAAACAAAUUUACCUCAUGAUUAUGGUUAAUAUCAAACCGAUCAACUUUCGAUUCACGGAAAAUUCCAGCGUCAACUACAACUUAGGAGCAGCAAUUGCGAAAACGAUAUAUUCGAUGUUAUCUCUUCUUACACAAAUGAGUGACAAGGAUGUCAGUACGUUGUGAUCAAUGAAAUAACAAACACAGUACACACUAUUGUUAGUUCCUGUUUUUGCAAUAAAGAGACCGACACUUGACCUGUUACUUAAAAUCAAUUAAAUUACACCAAA